AGCUGGAUCAUUUUCCGAUGAUCAAACCAAAAAACAAAACCCAAACCCGUCUGCAUUUUGAGAACUUCCGUUUUCAUAUGUGUCAGGCACAACAACCCAACACCCAAAAACAAUUCGCCGCUCGACCGGGGGGAAAUUCAGUUUUCGCCUCGGUUUGAGCACGGCUUUCACAACGUGUCGCGAUGGAUGACUUGGCUUCCUAUUUCGUUGAAGAACGCAGCAAAGUGCGAUAAGUGGUAUCAAUUGCAGAAUCACUCAAUUACCGAAUCUUUGAACGCAAAUGGCGCCCGGGAGAAGCCUUACACGGCCAUCCCCGUGCAUGCCGUAUCGCUCAGUGUCGAACAAAAACCCAACCUUACAAAAGAGCCUUGGCUUGUCGAAGAAGCAAUUCCGCGGCGGCCGAGUGGUUACCCCGAAUACAACGUCAAACCGUCGGUUCAUGGGUAAUUCAUUUUCUUGUAAAAAGCGCGGCUUCUUGCCGUGCUUUUUUCAACAAGUGUAAAAAGCUUGUCUGAAAAACCUCUUUUGUUACAGACCUGAGUGCGGCAGGAUCACCCGCCGAACUUAAGCAUAUUACUCAGCGGAGGAAAAGAAAACAACCGUGAUUCCCUCAGUGAGCGGCGAGCGAAGAGGGACCGAACUCGACGCCGAAUCGGGCUUCAUAGAGCCUUGAGUUGUGGCGAGCUGCUUCGUGACUGGUGUGGGAUUGGCGAAAUUCAAUGUGCAAAGCAAACCCAUUGCUGAACACAACCCUUCAUGUGAGUAUUGAGCCAAAGAAGGUGACAGCCCAUUGAGCCAAAAACCCGAGCACCUCACUAGGUAGUACUAAGCGAGUAGCGCUUCUUGGGAGUGAAGCGUCAAUCGGCAGGUAUGUGUCUGCCAAGGUUAAAUACAGAGUAGGAAGACCGAUAUCGAACAAGUAGCGUGAGCGAAAGUUUGAAAAGCACUUUGGAAAGAGAGUGACAUAGAACCUGAAGUCGUGACAAUGGCAAUGGAAGCAUCUCCAUUUGAUCGCCAGAACCAGCCUCUCAGCAUCAUCCUUCUCGGACUUUAGCGCCUUGGGGGUAACGAGUGCAGAACUGGGGCGUGGUGACAUGAGCGGAGCUAAAGUCGGACGCACUGCCUAGCAGCGAGCGCCGUCUUCUCCGUGACCUCGAUGCUGGCGCAAGGCAAUGGGAUGCCUUCACCCGUCUUGAAACACGGACCAAGGAGUCAAACAGACACGCAAGAGGGAAGAUAUUGUUAACAGUACUUCUCUCGUACUGAAAGGGUGAUACCUGGUAUCAUGGUGUGCACACAAAUGAAUGCCCAACACCAACCGGCCCGCACGCGGGUUGAGUUUGAGUGUGCCUGUUUGGACCCGAAAGGUGGUGAACUAUGCCUGAACAAGGUGAAGCCCGGGGAAACCCAGGUGGAGGCCUGUAGCGAUGCUGACGUGCAAAUCGCUCGCAAGAUUUGGGUAUCGGAGCGAAAGACUCAUCGAACCACCUAGUAGCUGGUUCACGU
rnacentral:misc_RNA from 1 species